rnacentral:rRNA from 2 species
AACGUAGGAGGCAAGCGUUAUCCGGAGUAACUGGGCGUAAAGGGCGAGUAGGUGGUUUAAUAAGUUGGUUAUGAAAGCUCCUGGCUAAACUGGGAGAGGCUGACCAAGACUGUUAGACUUGAGUGGAGAAGAGGUCAACGGAAUUCCGCGUGUAGUGGUGAAAUGCGUAGAGAUGCGGAAGAACACCAGUGGCGAAGGCGGUUGACUGGUCUCCAACUGACACUGAACCGCGAAAGCAUGGGUAGCGAACGGG